UACGGAGGGUGCGAGCGUUAAUCGGAAUUACUGGGCGUAAAGGGUGCGUAGGUGGUUUGAUAAGUUAUCUGUGAAAGUCCCGGGCUUAACCUGGGGAGGUCAGAUAAGACUGUUGAGCUAGAGUAUAGGAGAGGGUAGUGGAAUUUCCGGUGUAGCGGUGAAAUGCGUAGAGAUCGGAAGGAACACCAGUGGCGAAGGCGGCUACCUGGCCUAAUACUGACACUGAGGCACGAAAGCGUGGGGAGCAAACAGG
rnacentral:rRNA from 1 species